rnacentral:siRNA from 1 species
UGCGCACUAUCUUUCAGUUCGA